rnacentral:lncRNA from 1 species
CUCGGGCUGGCAGCUCUGAGCUAGCUACUAAGCCAGUGAGCGCGCGGAGUCGAGCGAGGAGCGCCUUCUGCGCUGAGUGGCAGUGGUCUGGUGCUGCUGGAGCACUGUGCCGAGUGAGGUCGGAAUCUGCACCCCACUUUCCGCCAGCUCCCGUCACACUUGCUUACGCUCAGGAGCUCAACGCGUGGGAUCAGAUACUAGACUACGGGAUGCUGCACUCCAGAUCCCCGAGGCGUGGCAGGGUCUCGGUCAUCAACCUGAGUGAUACGCUGGCACCGGGCUGGAGGAGAUGAUCUGAUGUUAGACGACCUCGGUGGCCUCUGCUGUUAUUUAAACAAACACUAAGCCUGGCAGCGCUGCAGGGACAUUUGGUGGCCCCUGGCAACAGACAGCAUCUGCAAGAAGGGUCUCGCUAGAUUGACAGAAAAACCAAGGUCUCCAUAAGGUACAAGACUGAGUUGUCCACGGUUCUCAAGCUCUCCGCUCUGGUUCGGUGACAUCUCGGAAUGAACCCCAGAGAAUCCUUGUGCUCUUGACCAGAGCGUUGUGCCGGUGUUCCCCAAGACUGGACACUCUACCCGCCCCAGGUCUGAGGUUCUCAGUCCUGCUCCGAGCAGCCAACUCUGCCCACAGGUAAGACCUUCUCUUUAAAACCAAGCUUUUGAUGUGAGAGCCACGGCUUGGCUGAAGCCUGUCCAGGAGACCGUGAGCC